GGCCGCGUGGCUUAAUGGCAUAGCGCUUGACUACGAUCGCAACAUAGAGUGUAAUCAAGAGAUUCUGGGUUCGAUCCCCAGCGUGGUCA